rnacentral:rRNA from 1 species
GAGUAACAUGUAGGUAUCUGCCCUUUGGCCUGGAAUAACACGAGGAAACUUGUGCUAAUACCGGAUAAGUCUUUACGGAGAAAGCUUUAUGCACCAUUGGAUGAGCCUGCACUUGAUUAGUUUGUUGGUGGGGUAAUGGCCUACCAAGACUGUGAUCAAUAGCUGAUUUGAGAGGAUGAUCAGCCACAUUGGGACUGAGACACGGCCCAAACUCCUACGGGAGGCAGCAGUGGGGAAUAUUGCACAAUGGAGGAAACUCUGAUGCAGCGAUGCCGCGUGAGUGAAGAAGGCCCUUGGGUUGUAAAGCUCUUUCGUCGGGGAAGAAAAUGACUGUACCCGAAUAAGAAGGUCCGGCUAACUUCGUGCCAGCAGCCGCGGUAAUACGAAGGGACCUAGCGUAGUUCGGAAUUACUGGGCUUAAAGAGUUCGUAGGUGGUUGAAAAAGUUAGUGGUGAAAUCCCAGAGCUUAACUCUGGAACUGCCAUUAAAACUUUUCAGCUAGAGUAUGAUAGAGGAAAGCAGAAUUUCUAGUGUAGAGGUGAAAUUCGUAGAUAUUAGAAAGAAUACCAAUUGCGAAGGCAGCUUUCUGGAUCAUUACUGACACUGAGGAACGAAAGCAUGGGUAGCGAAGAGGAUUAGAUACCCUCGUAGUCCAUGCCGUAAACGAUGUGUGUUAGACGUUGGAAAUUUAUUUUCAGUGUCGCAGGGAAACCGAUAAACACACCGCCUGGGGAGUACGACCGCAAGGUUAAAACUCAAAUGAAUUGACGGGGACCCGCACAAGUAGUGGAGCAUGUGGUUUAAUUCGAAGAUACGCGCAGAACCUUACCAACACUUGACAUGUUCGUCGCGACUCUAAGAGAUUAGAGUUUUCGGUUCGGCCGGACGAAACACAGGUGCUGCAUGGCUGUCGUCAGCUCGUGUCGUGAGAUGUUGGGUUAAGUCCCGCAACGAGCGCAACCCUCACUUUUAGUUGCCAUCAUUAAGUUGGGCACUCUGAAAGAACUGCCAGUGAUAAGCUGGAGGAAGGUGGGGAUGACGUCAAGUCCUCAUGGCCCUUACGUGUUGGGCUACACACGUGCUACAAUGGUAUCUACAACAGGAAGCAAAACUGCGAAGUUAAGCAAAUCCCUAAAAGAUACCUCAGUUCGGAUUGCACUCUGCAACUCGAGUGCAUGAAGCUGGAAUUACUAGUAAUCGUGGAUCAGCGUGCCACGGUGAAUGCGUUCCCGGGUCUUGUACACACC